rnacentral:rRNA from 1 species
GACGGAGGAUGCAAGUGUUAUCCGGAAUCACUGGGCGUAAAGCGUCUGUAGGUGGUUCGAAAAGUCCACUGUUAAAAAUUGAGGCUUAACUUCAAAGAUGCCGUGGAAACUUUCAAACUAGAGUAUGGUAGGGGUAGAGGGAAUUUCCAGUGGAGCGGUGAAAUGCGUAGAUAUUGGAAAGACCACCGAUGGCGAAGGCACUCUACUGGGCCAUUACUGACACUGAGAGACGAAAAGCUAGGGGGAGCAAAUGGGG